rnacentral:rRNA from 1 species
ACGGCUCAGUAACACGUGGCUAACCCACCCUUGAGACGGAGAAAACCCCGGGAAACUGGGGUUAAUCUCCGAUAAGAGAAGACACCUGGAAUGGGUCUCCUCUCAAAGGGCGCCUAGACCAUGCUUCUAGGCGUUGCUCAAGGACGGGGCCGCGGCCGAUCAGGUCGUUGGUGAGGCAACGGCUCACCAAGCCUAUAACCGGUACGGGCCGUGAGAGCGGGAGCCCGGAGAUGGGCACUGAGACAAGGGCCCAGGCCCUACGGGGCGCAGCAGUUGCGAAAACUCCGCAAUGCACGAAAGUGUGACGGGGCUACCCCGAGUGCCGUCCGCUGAGGGCGGCUUUUCCCCGGUGUAAGGAGCCGGGGGAAUAAGGAGAGGGCAAGUCUGGUGUCAGCCGCCGCGGUAAUACCAGCUCUCCGAGUGGUAGGGAUGAUUAUUGGGCUUAAAGCGUCCGUAGCCGGCCCGGCAAGUCUUCCGUUAAAUCCAACGAUUCAAUCGUUGGACUGCAGGAGAUACUGUUGGGCUAGGAGGCGGGAGAGGCCGACGGUAUUCUCGGGGUAGGGGUAAAAUCCUAUAAUCCCGGGAGGACCACCAGUGGCGAAGGCGGUCGGCUAGAACGCGCUCGACGGUGAGGGACGAAAGCUGGGGGAGCGAACCGGGUUAGAUACCCGGGUAGUCCCAGCUGUAAACGAUGCGGGCUAGGUGUUGGGGCGGCUACGGGCCGCUUCAGUGCCGCAGGGAAACCAUUAAGCCCGCCGCCUGGGGAGUACGGCCGCAAGGCUGAAACUUAAAGGAAUUGGCGGGGGAG